rnacentral:rRNA from 1 species
UAGGGAAUCUUCGGCAAUGGACGAAAGUCUGACCGAGCAACGCCGCGUGAGUGAAGAAGGUUUUCGGAUCGUAAAACUCUGUUGUUAGAGAAAAACAAGGACGUUAGUAACUGAACGUCCCCUGACGGAAUCUAACCAGAAAGCCACGGCUAACUACGUGCCAGCAGCCACGGUAAUACGUAGGUGGCAAGCGUUGUCCGGAUUUAUUGGGCGUAAAGCGAGCGCAGGCGGUUUCUUAAGUCUGAUGUGAAAGCCCCCGGCUCAACCGGGGAGGGUCAUUGGAAACUGGGAGACUUGAGUGCAGAAGAGGAGAGUGGAAUUCCAUGUGUAGCGGUGAAAUGCGUAGAUAUAUGGAGGAACACCAGUGGCGAAGGCGGCUCUCUGGUCUGUAACUGACGCUGAGGCUCGAAAGCGUGGGGAGCAAACAGG